rnacentral:rRNA from 1 species
UACGUAGGUGGCAAGCGUUGUCCGGAAUUAUUGGGCGUAAAGCGCGCGCAGGUGGCUAUGUAAGUCUGAUGUUAAAGCCCGAGGCUCAACCUCGGUUCGCAUUGGAAACUGCGUAGCUUGAGUGCAGGAGAGGAAAGUGGUAUUCCACGUGUAGCGGUGAAAUGCGUAGAGAUGUGGAGGAACACCAGUGGCGAAGGCGACUUUCUGGCCUGUAACUGACACUGAGGCGCGAAAGCGUGGGGAGCAAACAGGAUUAGAUACCCUGGUAGU